UUUACCCUUAGGUGUCGCUUUCUUUCUCUACCUCAGUUUCAUUUUCAGUUUAUUUCCAUCUCUCUCUCUCUCUCUCUCUCUCUCACGCAAACGAAGAUGAAGCGCUCUCUCUCUAGAUCGCAGUAGAACCUCUGUGAUUUCGUCUCGGAUUUUCAAUCAAUCUCGUGGCCGUGGUUGCCGAACUUGAGGAUCAUGGAUCGGAGUUUGUCCUCCUUCGCAGGGUAGCCGAGAUGUCUCUCUCUCUCUCUCCAUCUCCCUGGCGUUGCCGAUCUGGAAUGUUGAACCCAACGAUCUCAGGCCGCAAGCCGCCGACUCCUUACUCUCGUCCGCCUCAGAACAAAGCCGACCGAGGGAAGCAUUGGUUGUCCAACGUCGUUGAUCCAGCUUAUCGGCUCAUCUCCGGUGGCGCCACUCAUGUUUUUACCUCUUUCUUCUCGCUGGUGAAUUUCGUCAAUGCUCUACCGGCGCCUAAUGUCCAGCCAUCACGAAUUCUUUUGCAUAUGUAGUAGUCACUUUCUAAAAUCAGGUGAAUUUGGAUAUUUAAGCCUCCAUUGACCAAGAGAUUAUUUGGUCAACCAAAAAAUGUUGAACGUGCUAAAGGUGGCAAAAUUAUGCCUAUGUGUUUAGAUCGUCACCAUUGAAAAAUGAUAAUAGCAUUACAGCAUUGACUAUAGCUUUAUACAACUAUUGUAAUAGAUUUUCACAACUAUAGUAGUUACUUUUGACAACUAUGGAAGUUAAUUUUUACAUUGUGAUAUCAUUGUUGAAUGUUGCAUACA